AACCGGAAUAUAGCAGAGUAGAGACACUACACUCCUCCCAUUUGGUUGAGGGGACGGAGUAUGCAUGGUUGUCCUAUGUUUCCAACAUGGUGAGAUCCACAUAGGUGACAACAAGACUCCCAUCUGAAACUAGAAAUAUCUGUAACAUAAUACCUUCAGAUAACUCUACAAUCAUGUUUGGGUUGUUCCACUUCCUUUGCAUUGUGACCUGUGUCGCUGCUUCCAAGCAAAUAUAUGGGAUGUGCCCUGGAACGUCAUUCUACAUACCCCGUUCACUUGCAUAUGAUCCCGAAAUGUCAGAUCUAUAUUUCACACCACAGUCUCCUUCAGCCAAGGCUGUAAUGGUUCUCAACAAAACGCAGCCAUACAGAUAAAAGUGCUGCACUUAUGGAUUUUGUGGAUCUUAUGGUACUUGGCGAUUCAACACUUUACACGCAGAACUACAUAUUUACAACUUACAUUUUAUGACAAAUGCACAGCCGACAGACGAUCAUUACAAGUUCAAGGAUCAGACGCUCUUCAUUUCCGAAUUACGGGAGACAGACACAGGGAUUUUCUCUUGGGGGGUUGACGUGAAUUUUCACACGGUCCUCAAACUUGUGAUUAAAGACUGUACUAUGCCACAGGUGGUUGGCUUCGGACAACCUUUGAAAUUGAAGGUUCCCCACGAGGCAUCCAUCCUAGAGUUUGUCCAUCCAUCUUCCCCGAAUAGAGGGGAGGUUCUAUGGAACACCUCCAGUUCCUAUGACGAUGUUUCCAAGGGUGUUAUUCAGGAGUCCUACUGGAUGGUUCGUGCGGCAACCACCGCUGACAUGGGUUCUUACACUUUCCGGAAACAAAGUGGGGCAGAGGUCUCGAAAACACAGGUGACCAUUACAGCCAAUGUUCAGGCUUUCAAUAUGGAUGAGGAACUGUAUGGAAGUGGCAUCUGGGGAACCAAUCUUCAGAUCCCUGACCAUGAAAUAUCGGUGGUUUUCAGUCCACAACCAGGCGAGGAAUACCGGAUUGUUAGCGGAGGGACACAAACGGACGAGGGAAAACGGCUCUUUGAGGAUCGGAUUCGGUUGCGAGGCAGCCCGAAUGCAUUCAUCCUCGAGCUGGAUGAUAUACAGAGGAGUGAUGCAGGCAGAUACCAGUUUUUUGACAAGGAUGGAAUUCUGGUUGCUCUGAGGAUUCUACGUACAUACCAGCAGACCUACUACAUGUAUCUUUUGGCACUGAUCCCUGUAGUGCUCCUCAUACUGCUCGGCGUGUGUGUGUGGAAGUGCUGCUGUAACAAAGGCAAAAGCCGCACCCCCUCUGCCCCAGCAGCUACGGCUCGCCAGUGCCAUGCAGCCCUAUAGUGGAAUAGAGGUGAGUCAGCCUGAGCCAACCAACGAGACAGGGGCUCACCGUCCUUCUGACACGCCCCUUCUCCUCCCUCAUCUGUUGAGUCUUCGCCCCAGCCCCAGCCCCAGCCCCAGCCCCAGUUCCAGUUCAAUAACAUGGGUGACUUUUUCAAGGACUUCACCGACUUCACCGACUUCACCAACUUCACCAACUUCACCACCUCUUUCAGCACGUCCACUACGAACACCACUACCACCGUCUUCCCGUCCUGUACUAGAAAUCAGAGUGGUCCCACUUUUCAACACUGGACCUCAAACAAUGAAGACAUGUCAGACAGGUGUGAAACCUCUUAAUUGCAACCGUUGCUACUUCUCCUUCCACUGCUGGAGGGAUUGUGUUGAGGUGGUCUGUGAUUAGGAAGAAUAUUACACCCUGUUUAGAUGCACCCUGAAUGACAGAUCUAUCAUUAUCAUCUAUCAUCAAUGACAGAUCUAUCAUUAUCUAUCAUCUAUCUGGUAUAUUUGUCAAGAAAAAUAGUUAUGUUAUCUUAAUUUGAUACUUUUUUUGUUUUAUGUUCUUUGAAGGCAUGCUUUAUUUAGAACUUUUCCAUUGGCCUGUUACACCACACAAUGCUUGCAGAUUUAGUUCUGGCCAUUAUUAAUCUGUGUCCUGUGCCUAAUAAGUUUCUGUGCCUAUUGUCUGUCAGAAAAGCCUAAUACUGAACAACUUUGUCAGGGGUAAAUGUUGCAGGUUUCCAAAACAGCUUUUUGGUAAUUUAGCCUUUGGGACCAUUUCUGUAGACACUAACCACAGCCUAUAAGAUCCACAGGGAGGUGAAGAAUUGUACUUGUUCAAAAAUCUGAAAAACAUUACCAAACACACACCAUUUCCUCACACCUCGGACCUGUGCAUAUGUUAUAUGUUAUAUGUAAAUGUAAACUACAUUUGUAAAUGUUUGUGUUUAUGCCCCCUACUACACUGUCUGCCCAGUGCCAGUGUGCCCAAUGCCCACCCAUACAGUACCCUUCAACAGAGUGCAAAAGCUGCAGUGUGUGUCUCUGUGUGCUCACAACCCUAAGGGCCCACAGCGUGGAUUACUCACAUACCACAGUACCUCAGAAAUAUUCUUACACGAUCAUAAAAAAAAAGUGUAACAUGUGUUUCAUAAAUGUCACAUAUGUCAUUUGAAGUAACACUAUGCAACAAUUUGACACUUUUUGAGAUAUGGCUUUAUAGGCAACUAGUUUUGGUACCAUCCUCAAAUUCAUUUUGAUAGCAUAUG